GACGAACGCUGGCGGCGCGCUUAACACAUGCAAGUCGAACGGAAAGGCCUGCUUUCCCUUGUGGAUUGCGGGUACUCGAGUGGCGAACGGGUGAGUAACACGUGAGUGAUCUGCCCCCAACUUGGGUAUAAGCCUGGGAAACUGGGUCUAAUUCCCGAUAGGACUGCAGGGUGGUGCCUGUGGUGGAAAACGAUUUUCUAGUGGUUGGGGAUGAGCUCGCGGCCUAUCAGCUUGUUGGUGGGGUAAUGGCCUACCAAGGCGGCGACGGGUAGCCGGCCUGAGAGGGUGGACGGCCACAUUGGGACUGAGAUACGGCCCAGACUCCUACGGGAGGCAGCAGUGGGGGAUAUUGCACAAUGGGCGGAAGCCUGAUGCAGCGACGCCGCGUGGGGGAUGACGGCCUUCGGGUUGUAAUCUCCUUUCGACCGCGAGGAAGCCACCUGGUUGGAAGGGUGGUGACGGUAGUGGUAGAAGAAGCACCGGCUAACUACGUG
rnacentral:rRNA from 1 species